AUUGAACGCUGGCGGCAGGCUUAACACAUGCAAGUCGAGCGGGCGAGGUUGCUUCGGUAACUGAGCUAGCGGCGGACGGGUGAGUAAAGCUUAGGAAUCUGCCUAUUAGUGGGGGACAAUAUUUCGAAAGGGAUGCUAAUACCGCAUACGUCCUACGGGAGAAAGCAGGGGAUCACUUGUGACCUUGCGCUAAUAGAUGAGCCUAAGUCGGAUUAGCUAGUUGGUGGGGUAAAGGCCUACCAAGGCGACGAUCUGUAGCGGGUCUGAGAGGAUGAUCCGCCACACUGGGACUGAGACACGGCCCAGACUCCUACGGGAGGCAGCAGUGGGGAAUAUUGGACAAUGGGGGGAACCCUGAUCCAGCCAUGCCGCGUGUGUGAAGAAGGCCUUUUGGUUGUAAAGCACUUUAAGUGGGGAGGAGGCUCUCUUGGUUAAUACCUGAGAAGAGUGGACGUUACCCACAGAAUAAGCACCGGCUAACUCUGUGCCAGCAGCCGCGGUAAUACAGAGGGUGCGAGCGUUAAUCGGAUUUACUGGGCGUAAAGCGCGCGUAGGUGGUUAAUUAAGUCAAAUGUGAAAUCCCCGAGCUUAACUUGGGAAUUGCAUUCGAUACUGGUUAGCUAGAGUAUGGGAGAGGAUGGUAGAAUUCCAGGUGUAGCGGUGAAAUGCGUAGAGAUCUGGAGGAAUACCGAUGGCGAAGGCAGCCAUCUGGCCUAAUACUGACACUGAGGUGCGAAAGCAUGGGGAGCAUACAGG
rnacentral:rRNA from 1 species